rnacentral:rRNA from 1 species
GACAAACGCUGGCGGCGUGCCUAACACAUGCAAGUCGAGCGAUUCUCUUCGGAGAAGAGCGGCGGACGGGUGAGUAACGCGUGGGUAACCUGCCCUGUACACACGGAUAACAUACCGAAAGGUAUGCUAAUACGGGAUAACAUAAGAAAUUCGCAUGUUUUUCUUAUCAAAGCUCUGGCGGUACAGGAUGGACCCGCGUCUGAUUAGCUAGUUGGUGAGGUAAUGGCUCACCAAGGCGACGAUCAGUAGCCGACCUGAGAGGGUGAUCGGCCACAUUGGAACUGAGACACGGUCCAAACUCCUACGGGAGGCAGCAGUGGGGAAUCUUCCACAAUGGGCGAAAGCCUGAUGGAGCGACGCCGCGUGAGGGAAGAAGGUCUUCGGAUCGUAAACCUCUGUCCUCAGGGACGAUAAUGACGGUACCUGAGGAGGAAGCCACGGCUAACUACGUGCCAGCAGCCGCGGUAAACAUACUCGUACUGAGACUCCAAGGCACACG